AAACUCAAAUGAAUUGACGGGGGCCCGCACAAGCGGUGGAGCAUGUGGUUUAAUUCGAUGCAACGCGAAGAACCUUACCUACUCUUGACAUCCUGCGAAGCCUUUAGAGAUCGCUUGGUGCCUUCGGGAGCGCAGAGACAGGUGCUGCAUGGCUGUCGUCAGCUCGUGUUGUGAAAUGUUGGGUUAAGUCCCGUAACGAGCGCAACCCUUGUCCUUAUUUGCCAGCAGGUAAUGCCGGGAACUCUAAGGGAGACUGCCGGUGACAAACCGGAGGAAGGUGGGGACGACGUCAAGUCAUCAUGGCCCUUACGAGUAGGGCUACACACCUGUUACAAUGGCCGGUACAAAGGGCAGCGAGCUCAGCGAGAGUCAGCUAAUCCCGAAAAGCCGGUCUCAGUCCGGAUUGGAGUCUGCAACUCGACUCCAUGAAGUCGGAAUCGCUAGUAAUCGUGAAUCAGAAUGUCACGGUGAAUACGUUCCCGGGCCUUGCACACACCGCCCGU
rnacentral:rRNA from 1 species